rnacentral:rRNA from 1 species
AGUGAACGCUGGCGGCGUGCUUAACACAUGCAAGUCGAACGAGAACGGGUUAUAGCUUGCUAUAAUUGUCAGCAAAGUGGCGCACGGGUGAGUAAUGUAUAGGUAAUAUGCCUCUUACUAAGGGAUAACAAUUGGAAACGAUUGCUAAUACCUUAUACUCCUUAUUAACUAAAGUUAGUAAGGGAAAGAUUUAUUGGUAAGAGAUUAGCCUGUAUUGUAUCAGUUAGUUGGUGGGGUAAUGGCCUACCAAGACUAUGACGCAUAACUGGUUUGAGAGGAUGAUCAAUCACACUGGACCUGAGACACGGUCAAGACUCCUACGGGAGGCAGCAGUGGGGAAUAUUGCACAACGAACGAAAGUCUGAUUCAGCAACGCCGCGUGGAGGAUGACACAUUUCGGUGCGUAAACUCCUUUUAUAUAAGAAGAUAAUGACGGUAUUAUAUGAAUAAGCGCCGGCUAAGUCCGUGCCAGCAGCCGCGGUAA